rnacentral:tRNA from 1 species
GCCGAGGUGGCGGAGCACGGUUUAACGCGCGGGCCUUGAGAGCCCGUGUCCCCUUGGGACGCUUGGGUUCGAAUCCCAACCUCGGCG